rnacentral:rRNA from 1 species
GACGAACGCUGGCGGCGUGCUUAACACAUGCAAGUCGAACGGAAAGGCCCUGCUUUUGUGGGGUGCUCGAGUGGCGAACGGGUGAGUAACACGUGAGUAACCUGCCCUUGACUUUGGGAUAACUUCAGGAAACUGGGGCUAAUACCGGAUAGGAGCUCCUGCCGCAUGGUGGGGGUUGGAAAGUUUCGGCGGUUGGGGAUGGACUCGCGGCUUAUCAGCUUGUUGGUGGGGUAGUGGCUUACCAAGGCUUUGACGGGUAGCCGGCCUGAGAGGGUGACCGGCCACAUUGGGACUGAGAUACGGCCCAGACUCCUACGGGAGGCAGCAGUGGGGAAUAUUGCACAAUGGGCGGAAGCCUGAUGCAGCAACGCCGCGUGCGGGAUGACGGCCUUCAGGUUGUAAACCGCUUUCGCCUGUGACGAAGCGUGAGUGACGGUAAUGGGUAAAGAAGCACCGGCUAACUACGUG